rnacentral:rRNA from 1 species
UACGUAGGUGGCAAGCGUUGUCCGGAUUUAUUGGGUUUAAAGGGUGCGUAGGCGGCUUUGUAAGUCAGUGGUGAAAUAUGGCAGCUCAACUGUCAGGGUGCCAUUGAUACUGCAGAGCUUGAGUACAGAUGAGGUAGGCGGAAUUGACGGUGUAGCGGUGAAAUGCUUAGAUAUCGUCAAGAACACCGAUAGCGAAGGCAGCUUACUGGGCUGUAACUGACGCUGAGGAGCGAAAGCGUGGGGAGCGAACAGG